AAAAGUAAGUAUUGAUUUUUGGAAGCAUAAAACCCCUUAACAAAUUAUUGGAUUCAUAAUUGAAUUCCAUAGGUAUUGUAAUAUAUUGAUAUAUGCAUAGUCGCAGUGGCACAAAUCUGUAUACACCGUCCUGUAACGCUGACCGUUUUUUCUCCAGGCAUCUGAUGCUGAAAAUGGAUGUGAACAAUCCUUAGAAAAUAUACGAGCUACAGGUCCAUCUGUAAAAUAUUGCAGUCCAUCUGGUACUCUGUAAUCAUCACUUGCCAUUCUCUGUGACAGACCAUCACACGAAUGGUUCGCCCUAAUCAACAUUGACGGAUCUUCAUUAAGCAUUGAGUACAACUGCAGAGAUGAGUGAAUGAACUUAUGAUGUUGCUAUAGCGCCAUUAUUGCAGUGUCGGGUAUAAAAAUAACCACAGAUAAACUAUACGAGGCAAAAAAUUUAAGAGGACAAUAAUUGACCGCUUCACAUGACAGUGCUUAGUAGUAUUCUUGGAAACUACUGUCAGAACGGACCUGAUCAUCAAUACAAGUUGCGGUGAUUUAAAGAUGGAGAGAGCAUUCUCGGAGUCGCAGAUGCAGCGCAGGACCCGCCUCCUUAACAUUGUACUGUAACAAUAAAAUAAUUCAUUAUACGUACCCGUUUCGUCGCAACGUCCACCGCCAUAUUGGACAUUUUCCAGGAAUAAAUUAAACGCUGGAACAAUAUCGUGUUUGCAUAGAGACAAAUCCGCCUACUGGUGGAUUCAAACUGUCCAACGCCGUCACUUUCAAUCGUUCGUUUGGUGAUCCUUACGGUAGACAGGAUCCUUUGAUUCUAUCCAUGAUGGCUAUACACACAAGAAGACGAAUACAACAUUAGAUUUAAGGAUAUUAUACUGUUUGUAUAUAAAAUAUUGUUAUUGUACUUACAUACAUAGACAUCUAGGCAAGACGAUGGUUAGGUAAUAAGUAUUUAUAAUGUAUAGAUAUUAUUAUGCCAGUGGUGAAUCGUCGUUAUAUGGCCCAUUGCGCCGGUCAAAUUACGCUAGAUUUUUUAAUAGAGUCUUCAGAAAGGGACCUGGUACAGUGAAUACGCUCAUACAUUACUUUUCGACUUUUCGUCAACAAUUUUAUUCAACGAUUCGGGUGACUGCCCUCGUAAUCGCAGCACCGUUAAAAAUAUUACCGCGUUACAAUACCUGUAGGUAUAGGUACUCGAUUAAACCUACCGUUUUAAAACAAGAAAAUUAUAGUAUUAUUUUGCUAUAUUUAGGUUAGACGCAAAGGUUCCGCGAGUGUUCAGGGCUAGUGUUCCCGGACCCGGCCCCGAAUCGCCCGCGUGGUCCUCGCUUCGUAGUUGUAUUCAAUUCACUCCCAUUAUUUGCGCAUCUCAGCUAAGCCGACAACCCUAAAUCUUCAUAUUGUUACCAGACGUCGGUCCUCACAUGUCAACUGUAAAAUUUGUCGUAUUUUGCUGUGUCAUUUAGUGCACACAACAGGUUUGAUUAUUUAUUGCACACACCCUGCACAUAUUCAACUUUAGGUAGGUCAGGAGGGGGAAUCACUUAUAAAUAGGUACAUAUAGGUAUGGAUAUGUGCAGUUGAAGUGAGCGACAUCAUAGGAUUCUAUACUUGGGACACGGACGACCGAUCGUCUGGGCACGGACUACUUGUUAGGUAGGUAGGGCAUUAGGAACGUCUGUGAUAAGAAAAUUGUAACAAUGUGUUGUAUUUUUUUUUAUACUUUAGGAAAUUAGGUAGGGUCUCUCGAUCGUGUAAAGUCCGAGCCACGGGCGGACCGAAUACGGGUGUUAUCCGGAACCACCGGGGCCACCCGUCACUCGUGUCACUAAUGCCUCUAACCUAAAUCGUCACCGUCGAACUCUCGGAUAGUAUAUCCGGUUUAAAGGCUCACGAUGUCUACACCUAAAACAUAACGAUCACAGUUGUAAUCAUUUACAUCAAGUACCUAUACUUAUUUUCUUUUAAAAUUACCAUUUAUAAAUUACAUACCAAGUGCUCUGACAUAGCCAAUUUUACUCCCUGCGUGGCUACGUACGACGAUUCACUGCUUCGUGAUAUUAAUAAAUUUACGAUGUAUAUUUAAAUUAAUUCGAUAAACCCGUUCCACACACUUAAGAAUAAUUGACCUACGAAAAGAGCCAUUCAAAUCUAGCCACGUUUUUAAUCGCAAAUAUUUUGAAAAGCAUUGGCUAUUGCGAUAUACGUGUGAAUAAUAUCAUAUUUAUCAACCUGUUACGUAAUUUUAAUGUCGUAUUGGUUUUUAAAUAUCUUAUGUUGUUAUUGUGACUAGUUCAGAGGUAAAUAAAGUUCGACAAAGUAAAAGAUUGCAAAAACAUUGAAAUUCAUUGUGAAUUCGCCGAGUGAUCACGACGAAUAAUGUAAAUAAGGGAGCUACAGGUGAUAAGUAGGUGGGUCGCAGCCGCCAGGGAUUGAGGUAGUAGAGAACGACGAGUUUUUGUCUGUCGCCACUGUCCUGGUCUCUCGGUGAAUUUACUACACAUAUAUUAUUCUGCUGUAUACGGAAACAUAGCUUGGGCCAAUAAGAUGGAUUUCUCUAUAUAUGCUAGUCGCAGGGAUGGAAAAUCCGUGGCAUGCGUGCCUGCAAUGGCCCGCAAAAAAAUAAAAAUACAUAUUAUAUUUUACUUUAUAAUUUUAUAUUUUGUUUUAAUAAUUAGUAAUGACUAAUGAUACAAUAAUGUAAAUACUUUUUCAUUAUUGUUUAAAUCUUUUAAAAAAUUUAAUUUGAGGCUUUUUCAACUUAUUCAAGAGAGUCAAUCUUUUCGGAAAUGAUUUUAUCAACACUACUUAAGAAACCGACUAAUGGUUUAAUGCAGUGCCGCAUGUUUAUCGUUAAAAUUAAAAUUAAUGAAUUAUAAACCGAAUACAAAAGAAUUAGCCUCAAGUGUAUAACAAGCACAUCAAAUUAAUAAAUACUUAAGUGUAAUGUUAAAUAUUAGUUUUACUUAUAUUAAAUAUCUUAUUUGUUUACUAACAAAUACAAUAACUACAUUUAAAUUAACACAUAUUUUAAAAAAAAUUGUCUUAUUUAUAUACGUACCUAUAUAAUAUUUUUAUAAUUUAAUAUCGCAGGCAAAUAAACCAUGUAAUUUUUGUCAUAUUAUCACGUUCGAAAAAUUUACCAGCCCUAUUUUAGUACAUAUAACUUGCGUUUUCGUCUCGUAAAUAGACUAUAGAGUUAGAGUAUACGAUAGCUUAAGAAUUUAUAAAUACUUAACUAGAAAUCAAUGCGGAUGUCCUAUAAAUAUUAAUUGUGAGUACGUCUUAAUACGCGAUUUGUUUUUGAAAAUUAUCAGAAAAACUAUAAAAGUAUUUCACACUUGUGUGUGGGAUGUGGUUUAACAUUUUUAAUCGGAAUUAAUAUUUAACAAUGUUAUGUCGUAUUGAUGUUAAUAUUAUACCUCGGUAUUACCUAAUGAGCUGGUUCGGUACGUAAAUAAAGUACGCGACAAUAAAUAUUUAGAAUUAAAUUUAAAUUAAAAUGCAAUUAUUAUGUGUUGCUGUAAAUGGAAACAUAGAUUGAGCUAAAAAGAUAUGUUUCUCUAUAUGCACUAGUAUAUUUAAACUAUUAAACUGUUAAUCAAUGCGACAGCUGUGUAAUUAUAUUUUUGUAUCUUUGUAUACUAAUUGUAUUUAUAGUAUAAGACGAUUUAUAAUACGUAUAAUACAGCAAUGACGUAAUUUUAAACAAAUUCACUCGACACAUUUGACAUAAUUUAUCAUACAGCAUAUUUAAUUGUAAUUUUUUAUAACUCAUAAAAACAAAUUUGUUUUGUAUUCAUUUGUGCGUCACGGCAGGCACCCGCUGUGACGCGCCCCUCCUUGUUUACGAUUAUAUUCCUGUAUCAGUAAUUUUUUCUUCAUCAACUUUUCAAUCGCGACACCAACCCUUUUGAUUGUACGCCCAAGGCAAAAUGAAAAAGGGGAUCUCAUUACAAAGCGAUCCCCAUCCCCGUGUUUGUAUCGUAUCCAUUUUUAGCAAAACUAAAUUGAAUUGUAAUCGCCCUAUGCCGCGCACAAAGUACGGGUAGUGAGCUUUUAUGGCUUUAGCGAUAGACUAGUGGGUAUAGUGUAUAAUAUGUAAAAAUUAUAUCAUGUUAUGUUUGUUACGUCGUGUUGAUUUUUCAUUCAUCUCACUUCUCGCUGUUCGUAAGAACUGUUCGGUACGUAAAUAAAGUACGCGAAAAAAAUGAAUACAGCAAUACAAUUGAAAUUACAACGCAACUAAAUGCUGCUGUAAAUAGAGACAUAGGUAUAUGGAGUCCUAUGUUUCUAUAUAUAUGUACUGUUUUGAUUUGCGUUUUCGUCUCGUAUAUACAGUACGUAUACGAUGACUUUGGAAUUUAAAUACUAAAACCAGAAAUCAAUGCGAUCGUCGUGUAGACACCUAGAUGGUCGUCAUUUGUAUUUUCCGAUAUUGUAUAUUAUAAUAUUAUAAUGCACCAAUUGUUUUGAUAAUAGUAUAUUGUUUUGAAAUGAUUAAUAUUGUAAUUAUCUAGUUUUAGUGCACUCCAAUUGUUGAGAGCACCUACAUAGCAAUCGUGUGUAAUAAAUUAAAAUAAUAAAUGUUAAUGUUAAGAA